GAUGAACGCUGGCGGCGUGCCUAAUACAUGCAAGUCGAGCGAACGGACGAGAAGCUUGCUUCUCUGAUGUUAGCGGCGGACGGGUGAGUAACCCGUGGAUAACCUACCUAUAAGACUGGGAUAACUUCGGGAAACCGGAGCUAAUACCGGAUAAUAUUUUGAAACGCAUGGUUCAAAAGUGAAAGACGGUCUUGCUGUCACUUAUAGAUGGAUCCGCGCUGCAUUAGCUAGUUGGUAAGGUAACGGCUUACCAAGGCAACGAUGCGUAGCCGACCUGAGAGGGUGACCGGCCACACUGGAACUGAGACACGGUCCAGACUCCUACGGGAGGCAGCAGUAGGGAAUCUUCCGCAAUGGGCGAAAGCCUGACGGAGCAACGCCGCGCGAGUGAUGAAGGUCUUCGGAUCGUAAAACGCUGUUAUUAGGGAAGAACAUAUGUGUAAGAAACUGUGCACAUCUUGACGGUACCUAAUCAGAAAGCCACGGCUAACUACGUG
rnacentral:rRNA from 1 species